ACCAGGCGUUGUGGCGGGCGCCUGUAGUCCCAGCUACUUGGGAGGUGGAGGCAGGAGACUCGCUUAAGCCCAGGAGUUGGAGGUUGCUGUGAGCUGUGAUGCCACGGUUCUCUACCCAAGGCGACAGCUUGAGGCUCUGUCUCAAAAAAAAAAAAAAAAAAAGACAGAGCCUCAAGCUGUCACCCUGGGUAGAGUGCUGUGGCAUCACAGUCACAGCAACCUCCAACUGGGCUCAAGCGAUUCUCUUGCCUU
rfam:Otolemur garnettii contig150308, whole genome shotgun sequence.